UUCACGAGUCGGCAGUUCAGUAAGUGAGUCAGAUUAAUUCAGUAACAUCUACGACUGUGUUUUCGUGUACUAAUAAAUAUCCAGUUCAUGAGAAUAUUUUUUUUCGGGAAGCAAUGUGCUGCUCACACUGAUAUUGACUCACUAAAAACAACCGGCUCAUUAGAAUCAUUCAUUUGGUGACCUGACUACAUUUAGGUAUGUUUUGGAUUCACUAAAAGGAACUGGCUCAUAAGAGUCAUUCGUUCGGGAUUCGGGUUACACCAAAGAUAGACGUUGUUGCGGUGCUGAUGAAUAGUGCAGGAAACACUGAGUUUUUAAGUGCGGUGUUCCAGUCGCACAAGCAGAAGAAUGCACGUUUGACAACCGUUAACGGAAUCGAACGUAAUGAAAAUCAGCCGAUUUCGAUAUUUGACUAACGUAAAUGGAAGUAAAAACCGCGCGUUUCUCGGUUGCCAAGCGUAUCACUCACUAUCUAAACAGUUUAGUACGCAUGGUAACGGUUCGUCUUCAAAAGAGGAAAGCUUUGUUUUUUCCUUUUCAUGACUUACAAAACAAACACCCCAUCAUUAUGACGAUAAUCGAUCGGAGCAACUCUUACCAGAGUCGGUAAAUUCAGUCCAGCUUCGGCCGAAAAUUCCCCUCCCUCCGAGGAAAUGAGCACAGAGUCCGGCGGUGGUAAUAUGGCUGACGGUGCGCUCACCUUUGUGCGCGCGGCUGAAUGACAGCGACUCCAGUUCCUGUUUGAGACAUGCUGCAGCGCGAGCGCGACGCCCACAGCAGAGGACACGAUGAGUAGCGCGCCAUGCUCAAGACCAAGACAAAAACCUUUCUUAAACCUUUUUUAAAACCUUUCACAUCAUGGAAGCUGAAUGACUGAAGUUUACGUGAAAAAUUAUUUCAAAGACAGAAUAAUGUACAGUAUUUAGGUACUAGGAACAGGUGCCCUGCAAACUGAAGUGCAGCAUUCAGAAAUAUUAUAAAGUGGUAAAACAAUGUGGCACUGUCCAAGUAGCCUGCUACGAUAAUGUGAUUUUGCAGGUAAUAGAAGACUCAGAUAGACUCAUAUCUCACAUUUGUCAAUGAAUAUGAUUUCAUUUUUUCCGGUAGUGUAAAUGCCUAUUAGUAGCGUACAGGUAGGCCUAAAUACCUUAGGCUACAUAAUGUAAACAUCUUUUGAUUGAUUGUGAUAUUUUCUUUACUGCCCAUGAAGGCAAUUUCCAAACCCACACAUAAUAAACCUAAAAACCCAGAAUGCUUCAACAAACCGUGUUGGAAGAAAAGGGUGUUAGGAUCUAUUUAUCUGUCAGUAAAAUUAAAGUAACAUAAAAUACAGGAACUGUAAUAUGUGGGAAAUAUUGCCGACAUCAAUAGUUUUAUAGCCUACUAUGGCAAGCUUUUCAGGAAAUCAAGUUUUUAUAUAUUGUGAAGAUUUUGUGUCAUCGGUUUAAUAACGAUGCAUUGGUUUAGCCCCGGGGUGUCCAAACUCGGUCCUGGAUGGCCACACUGUAAAAAAUAUUCCGUAGUUUUUACAAAAUAAUUUUGGCAGCUGUGGUUGCCAGAAUAAUUUUGUAAAAAAUACAGAAAAACUGUAAACACAUUUACAGAACAAACUGUAAAUUUUACAGUAUAAAACUGUAAUUUACAAACAAGAAAAUUUGAAUGUAAACCAGUAAAUUCAACAAUGCACACUACUACUAAAAUCUGUUUUGCACCUUUAACAUAUACUGACACCACCAUAAUAAUACAGGUGGUAAAAGAGAAAGCCACAUGAAGAAUCAGUGUUCAUAACAAGUAGCUUUUCCAUGAGCUGAAUUAUAUACUAAUAUAAAGAAGGUGCAAAGAGUCAUUGACGCAAACGCAAAACACCAUCAUGGUAACCCACAACACUUACAUAAUGCAAUAAACAUUCAUUAAACAACAGAAGAUGUAACAUAAAACCCUAAUGUACAUAACUGAUAACAAAAACUAUUAAGAAACAUGAUUUUUUUAAACAAAAUACUUUCAAAUGUGGAGUGUCACACAGGGAAUUGUGGGAAUAUCAGUUUACAGUUUUUGACUGUAAAUUAUACAUUGAUUUGUUCUUUUUUACUUCUAAAAAUUGUAAAAAUUUACAGCAUUUUACUGUGAAAAUUACAUAAAAUAUCUGGUAAGAGCUUUUACAGUUUUUCCCUGUAUAUAGUACGGGAACGUACUGUUAACCUUUUUACAAUUUUUUUCCGUAGCAUUUUUACAAUAUUUUAACGUUAAAAUCACGUUCAUUUUUUUUACAGUGCACUGUCCUGCAGAGUUUAGCUCCAACACACCUGCCUGGAAGUUUCUAGUAUGCCUAGUAAGACCUUGAUUAGCUGGUUCAGGUGUGUUUAAUUGGGGUUUGAGCUAAACUUUGCAGGACAGUGGCCCUACAGGAGCAGGACUGGACACCCCUGGUUUAGCCUAUACAACAUAUUGCUAUGCCUGUAUAGUAUACUCAUUCAAGAAAACUAAUGAACCAACACAUAUUCACACAUACACAUUUCACUUUACCCAACCUGAGAAUGUUGAGCACAAAUUAAAAAAUGUGGGUUAUACUCUCAUACUCUAAUUUCAUGUGCUAUCUAGGACAGCUGAAAGAAAAAAAAAGAAAGAAAAAAAAUCAUUACUUGAUUCUGCUCUUCAAGUGCUCUGUGUUAUCAUGCUGUAUUCCCCUUAUAUCACUCAAACAUUUGCACUUUUCUAAUAUUUGAUCCAUGAGCUUUUUAUUAGCCCAUUUAUAAUAAUAAUAACAAUUAUAUAUAUAUAUAUAUAUAAUGACGUUUUUGCUUGUCUGACAAGAGACAUAUAUGAGUAUGUGCUUACUUAUACUUAAGAGACUAAAUUAAAGAGAACAAAAUAAGAAAAAAAAAAAAAAAAAACGUGUAUGAUGUCAUCUUUAAAUUAAAUAAACCUGUUUCCUGCUGCUUUAACCUCAAUAAUGAUAAACUGGUAAUUUGAUCGGUGAUUCAGUAGAGAGACCCAUUAUUACAGUCAUUACAUAACUACAGACUACAUCUCAAUGUGAAAAGGAUGGGGCAUUAUUUUAGUCAUUACUGCACCUGUGCUCACUAAUUUCACAACAAGAUGAAAAAAUGUAUGCGUAACAUGAGGAAAACCUUAGUCAGCACUUUCAUUCAGAUGACUAGUGCAAACUGUUGAAUUAUUAAAGGUAAUCGCUUAUCUGAGAGAGAGAGAGAGAGAGAGAGAGAGAGAGAGUUCUAUAGAAAGUAUUUAGUCUAGAAUAGAUGGAGCUUUUGCCCAUGUUUCUGCUUUUAUGUCGUGUUCACUUUGUAAUAAAACCUCAUAUGUUUGAAUGAUGAACAAUAGUAAUUAGGUCAUUCAAACAUUUACGUCAGUUCUGAAUAAGUAAGUACACUGUGACUGUGACUCAGAGGUCUUUCCUUAACAACUUCUUUACAUCAACACGCCUGUUUCUAUUUGUGUUGCCAGAGCUGCACCGACGGAAGUGAAACUUCGGUGCACCUAAUGGGUGUGGUCAUAUGUGGGAGUUGACCAAUGGAGAAGCAGGAUUAAAAUAGAGCAGUAUAUAGGCGAGGUGAAUGAAAUCUGAAGCGGAACCGUCGAACAGAUCACGUCACGGUGUUUAGUCAAAGGUCCAGGCGAGACAGGUGGCAGUAGCUGAGCAGCCAAUCAGAAUGAUCAGAUGGCCCAACGGACCAACGAGCUCCGACGCCCGAUUCAACAUGUCGAAUCGGCCGAAAAAAAGCCAACGAGAACCAACUUCAGCUGACUGUGCGGAACACACUGAGAAAACUUAGUCGGCCGACGAACAAAAACUGCCCGGCUUGGUGUGUUCCUGCCUUUACGGGUUUGGAACAACAUGAGGGUGAGUAAUGACAGAAUUUUCAUUUUUGGGUGAACUAUCCCUUUAAUUGGAGUAAUAUAAAGUCUAGUUCAGGCCACAAUGCACCUAUCCACUGAACUUUUAACCACCAGCAGUUUAACCACCAGCCACCAAAUUAGGGGCUUUCACACUGAAUAGUUCUAGGAACUCAGUUAUAGGAACUAGCCACUAGGAUUUCUCCCCCGGGCCAUGUUCCUGGUUGCAUUCGCACCGGGAAUAGGAACUCUGAAGCAGCCGACAGUGGCGUCUUUAAGUGCGAUAUUUACAAACGGUUUAAAAACUGGUUAAUGGAGGAUGCUGUGAUCGGAGCUGUGUUUGUUGUGUGUCGUGGGUUUCGUGAUAACGGAGAUGGAAUGUAAACGCAUAAUUUACGCGACUGAAAGAGUAAAAAGUUGGGCUAUGAGACUUUUUAAAAAUGCCAGGUGCCGGUGUUUGACAUGCGUUUGACCAAUAAACAUACACUCACGUCACUGAUAGUUCCUAUAGUCCUGGUUUAGAACCUACUCUGAAGUUUAAGCUAAUUUAGUUCCCCCCAAAAGGAGUUCCUAGAACUAAAAUUGUUCCUAGUUCCUGCGGUGCGAACACGCCAAAAUCCGGGUACUUCAGCAAAGUUCUAGGAACUAUGAAACUAUGAAAACCCCUGUUGUGCCGUUAUUUCCAGACAACAAAAUUGUUUUGUGUCCUGUUUCUCUGUUGCCAUAGUCUUUACCUCUGAUUUAAUAAAACAACAACCUUGAUAGUUUUUGG